UUUCACUUGCUUUGAAACAGUUCUUCACACACAUUCUAUAAAAGUGAAUAUUUUGUGGUUGACGUUUCCGCUUGUUUUCAAUUGUUUCCUAGCAGAUUGGACCCCUCAGAAUCCUCAGCAGGAAAUAACGUAAAAGCGGACGCAAUCAUGAAAAUCUCUGUUGUUUUAUGCAUCAUGGCAUCCAGCCUAGUUCUUUGCAAUGUUACACCAAAUCUUGGAGGAUCUGCGGUACUUGGGGUUCUUGGAGGUGGGAUUUCUGGCGGGACUGGUUUAGGAGGGAUUACUGGGGCUGGGGCUGGGACUGGGGCUGGGGCUGGGGCAAGCAAUUUGGUGGCAAACGUCAAACCUAGCGGCGUCGUCAGUGCCCAAGGAUCAAGUGCCUCUCAAUCCACAGGAACGGCGGUACAAGGCAAUUAAUAUACAACAAAUAUGAUACCCUAGUUGAGUAAACUGCCGUAAAACACGGUCAUAGCUAGAAUUGAUAAAAAUCACAACACUCAUCCCCCUCUCUUCAUAAAAUGAUAGCGUGCUGAAACCGCUGAUAUUCUAUCCUGCUUACUUGAUGGUAAAUAUUUAAGGAACACUGACACAAAAUCAGACUCCUUAGAAUGCAACAAAACCCUAAUAAUACGUACGAAAAUUUAAAAAUGUCGGUGUUAAUGAUUACCUCAAGUUACUUA